rnacentral:tRNA from 1 species
ACAUGUUUAGCUCAAAGGUAGAGUGUAUUAGAAAAAAGUUAAUAAAUAUGUAGGUUCAAAUCCAUACAACAUGUA